GAUGAACGCUAGCGGCAGGCCUAACACAUGCAAGUCGAGGGGUAUAGUAGCAAUACUAGAGACCGGCGCACGGGUGCGUAACGCGUAUGCAAUCUACCUUUUACCGAGGGAUAGCCCCAGAGAAAUUUGGAUUAAUACCUCAUAGCGUUAUAGUAUGGCAUCAUAUUAUAACUAAAGUAACAACAGUAAAAGAUGAGCAUGCGUCCUAUUAGUUAGUUGGUAAGGUAACGGCUUACCAAGACGAUGAUAGGUAGGGGUCCUGAGAGGGAGAUCCCCCACACUGGUACUGAGACACGGACCAGACUCCUACGGGAGGCAGCAGUGAGGAAUAUUGGACAAUGGGCGCAAGCCUGAUCCAGCCAUGCCGCGUGCAGGAUGACGGUCCUAUGGAUUGUAAACUGCUUUUGACAGGAAGAAACACCUCUACGUGUAGAGACUUGACGGUACUGUAAGAAUAAGGAUCGGGCUAACUCCGUGCCAGCAGCCGACGG
rnacentral:rRNA from 1 species